ACUCUUUACACUCGNCACGANACGUGUCGAUAAGGGGACUCCGNCUGACGAGGGCAUACAGCUUCCUNGCUAUUGUGUACCGUAGGGUGGUACACGACCAAGCAGCUGGGCAAGACCGGUGCCAGCCGCCGCGGUAAUACCGGCAGCUCGAGUGAUGGCCGAUUUUAUUGGGCCUAAAGCGUCCGUAGCUGGCCCUGCAAGUCCGUCGGGAAAUCCACUCGCCUAACGAGUGGGCGUCCGGCGGAAACUACAGGGCUUGGGACCGGAAGACUUGAGGGGUACGUCUGGGGUAGGAGUGAAAUCCUGUAAUCCUGGACGGACCGCCGAUAGCGAAAGCACCUCAAGACGACGGAUCCGACAGUGAGGGACGAAAGCUAGGGUCUCGAACCGGAUUANAUACCCGGGUAGUCCUAGCUGUAAACGAUGUUCGCUAGAUGUGGCACAGGCUACGUGCCUGUGCUGUGUCGUAGGGAAGCCGAGAAGCGAACCGCCUGGGAAGUACGUCCGCAAGGAUGAAACUUAAAGGAAUUG
rnacentral:rRNA from 1 species